GUGAUGGAUGUUACUGCUCGACUACAGGCAACGACCAAGGAAGUAAGAAGCAGCGACAGCAGAAAAGGGAUGCAGCAAAGGAUGAAAAGUAAAUCUGACAAACAUGAAUCACACACCGAUCACGAGCACAGUGACAUCCGAAAUUGGAACAGAGAGCUGCUGGGAACGGCCCAUUUAUGGAAAGGAAAUCCAGAGCAACCAUGAACCAAGGCAUACAACACCUUUCAGCACUGGGCUUGCUUCACACAUUCCUGCUCAAACCCUUGCUCUUCUGCUGCCUCUUGACGGAAGAAGCCACGGAGGCAUCGGCUCAGAGGAAGUUGUGGGGUGCCUGAGAUUAGAGGCUAUUUUGGAGCCACACAACCUUUGGGGCUGACCCUUUCGACAGCUGAA